UUAGAUCUGGUUCAGGACAAACGCUGCGGCGUGCCUAACACAUGCAAGUCGAACGAAGCAUGCUGGAAAGAGACUCGGUCAAUUGAAAGUAUGACUUAGUGGCGGACGGGUGAGUAAUGCAUGAGCAACCUGCCCUGGAGAGGGGGGACAACAGCUGGAAACGGCUGCUAAUACCGCAUGAUGUCACCGGAAGGCAUCUUCUGGAGACCAAAGAUUUAUCGCUCUGGGAUGGGCUCAUGUCUGAUUAGAUAGUUGGCGGGGCAACGGCCCACCAAGUCUACGAUCAGUAGCCGGACUGAGAGGUUGAACGGCCACAUUGGGACUGAGAUACGGCCCAGACUCCUACGGGAGGCAGCAGUGGGGAAUAUUGGGCAAUGGGCGCAAGCCCUGACCCAGCAACGCCGCGUGAAGGAAGAAGGCUUUCGGGUUGUAAACUUCUUUUAUCAGGGACGAAGGAUGUGACGGUACCUGAUGAAUAAGCCACGGCUAACUACGUGCCAGCCGCAGC
rnacentral:rRNA from 1 species